ACAAUUGGAAAUUGACGGACUAGAUAAUGCAUUAAAAGAUGAACUAUUUCCCAUACUUGAAAUCCAUUUUUCUUCACAGCUACACAUUUCGAGGUUGAGUUGAUCGGUCUGGGGCUUUUUUGACAUUGAAACAAGCUCUUCUAGUGAAUUUUCGAAGGUGCGCCUUAAUUUGGUUGUUUAUGGCCUAAACCUUUUAUAGAAUUUUAUACAUAUUUUAAUGAAUUGUGUUUUCUGUUUGAAGUCUGGCUUAUGCUAACAUUCACCGUUCCGUUUAGUAGUACUUCAAUAAGGCUCCAGUCAUGUUUCAAGAGCUUCAUGUCUUUCUUUGUUGAUUCAAGGCCUAUCACAAAUGUUUUUAGCAUUUUUGCUAGAGCAGUGGAGGGUUCUCCCGAUGCUUCAGGAAAAUCAUUGCUAGCAAGCAAUAGUUCCCUUCUGAUCUGAUUCUUCAGGAUGAGCAGAACCCCAUCUGAUUUUGAGUGUAGGGUUGUGGCUCUUCAUCACCUCAUAUGGUUGGGAGGUGGUUUGCCUUGCCCCUUGGAAAACCCUUGAAUAGGAUUUAUUGGAGUCCCUUUGGGUUAAGUGUCUGCAAAAUUUUGGGAAUAUUUUCAUAAUCAUUGCUCACGAUGAUAUAAACUUUUCUGAGUUCACAUGUUUCUAAAUAUUAGAUGUGAAUGUCACGCCUGUAUUCAAGCAUAUUUGGUUCCCAGGGUCUUUUUGUGGAUUUGCGGACCUGCAUAUGAGGCUCUUUGGCUAAAGCACCUGAAUUAUGUGGUGCUUUUGUUGGUCAUAGACUUUGAAGGCUAUUUUUAUGCAUGAUGCAUCAGGAUAAGCUAGGAAUCAACCUUGACUUUAUCAUGCAUGCAUUUGAAGUAGUUAAUUUGGCUCAGUGUUUGCAAUCUCGGCCGGUCCAACUCGUCGGGCACUGGCCGAUCCGGUUUUGGCCAGGUUUAUUUAUUUAUUUUUAUUUUUAUUUUUUAGCACUUCUUUGACAGUCGGGAUCUGCCCGGUUAGGUUGGUUGAACCGGCCGGUUUGCUGGUUACUUGGACCCGGUCCUUGGCCGGUUUGAUUUUCCAACACUGAUUUGGCUGUUGUUAAAUUGUUUGUCUCCAAAAUGAUACUUCUUUUUUGUUGCCAUUGUAGGAGUUAGCUUAGUAAUAACUGUAAUGCAUGGUCCUGUUCUAGAAUAGGAAUUCAUGGUCCUGUUCUAGAGUAGGAAUUCAUGUGGCUUGAUCUUUUGAACUAGGCUAAAUAAAGCUUCUCUUCCUAUGACAGCAGGCCAAUCUCUCAACAUCAAGUAAGCUUACAAUUGCCCAAUUAUUUUUCUUGCAUUGGGUUUAUCUUUCUAAGUUCUAAUUUUUGUUAAAAUUCUUGCAGGCAUAGAGCCAAUAUAGCAAGUUGUGAUCUGCAAUAUGCUGCACCAGUUAGCAAAACUAACACAAUUUGAUUUGAUCAUGUACCCCUACCCACCAAAAACUCAUGUUUUCGAUUGGUUGGAAGGGCCUCACCAUAUGCAAGAGCUAUUACAAUUCCCAUUCCCAUUCCCUGUGUGAUGUGUAAGAAGGUGGAGCAGACCAUAAUUCACUUCUUCUCCAGUGCUCGGUUGCAGCCUGCAUCUGAGGUUUUGGGUGUGGGUGUCACCUGAGAAAUGUCCAAAUGCUCUUUUCAGGUUACUUUCCCCACCUUUCCCUGCUGCUAAUCCUUUAUGGUUUGCCGCCAUGCUUGCUUCUAUUUGGGCGAUAUGGCUGGAGUUAUUUCCUGAAUCUUUGAGAGCAAUGAAAUAUCAUUGAGUCCUUAAAAGGAUAGGAUAUGUCCCGUUCUGUGCAAGAAACUGAAAGUUCUUUGGAUGGUCUACACCUGAUUCCGCACAACAGGGGGCCAUCAUCCUAAUUACAAUUUGUGGAGGCAUCUUGACUUGGUGAUCGCCUCCAUCUUUUGGGGUCAUCAAGCUAAAUUUAAUGGCUAAUCUUUGAGCAACCCUGGCCUAGUAGGAGUGGGGAAUAUUUAGAUCUUUUGCACCAGAUCUCUUACUAUUCCUCUCCAAAUCCAUUGGUUCAAAAAACGCAAUAAUGGCAGAGGCUACAGCUUUGCUGUGAGUUGUCAGAUUGUUUGAUGGCAGUUGGGGCUCAAUUUUUGAAGGAGAUUAUAUGAAUGUCAUUGGGUAGACUUCCCCUUUCCCUGGCACGUUGACCAACCAUUCUACCAAAAGUUUCAGAUUUGCAGCACCCUACAGGUUUCUGUUAAGCAUGCUUGGCAAGAGGCAAAUAAGGUCGAGAACACAUUGGCAGGAGAAGGUGAAGCCGGCUGUGGUUUUGAUGUGAUCAGGCACCGGUCCACAGUUGUGUAGUGUAUUGUACAAAUUUUGUUCCAAAAAUUUGAGUUUUGGAAUGCUGAAAAUGUGCGAAGAACCUUUUAAGUGUUUGGGCCAUUCGGACUGCCCAAAAGGUAAAAUAAAAACUAGGUGUUAUGGGGUUCCACGAGUUAAAAUGUAAAGAAAUUCUGAAGUUUUGGACUUCAGCGCAAGGAGUAGAAAUUUGGGUUCUCUUAUAUUUGGAUUGGUACCCCACUAGUUUUGAGCUGACUCGAUAUUUUUAAUACUUAUUUGAAGAAAAGAAGGUGACAAUCACUCUUGGAUAUUGGGCAUGAAUCAAGAGGUUAAAGUUAUACUAUUGAUCAUGCUUAAAGAUCAACAAAACUUUCUUAAACUUUGUGGCACAUCUACCCGUUUGAUUUAA